UGGGGUAUAGCCAAGCGGUAAGGCAGCGGGUUUUGAUCCCGUCAUUCCGAGGUUCAAAUCCUCGUACCCCAGCCA
rnacentral:tRNA from 3 species